rnacentral:lncRNA from 1 species
GUAUGAUUGUGCCCCAAGUAGGUAUGAAGUUCAAUGAUGAAAAAGAAAUAUUUGAUUUUUACAAAAGAUAAGCAUACAACGUAGGCUUUUCGGUUAGGAAAAGAAAUUCGCACAAAGAUGAUGAUGGAAUUGUAAGAUAUGUUGUGUUUACAUGUAGCCAUAAAGGUCGUAUAAGUAGUAACACAAGCAGUUCUAUGAAGCUGCAAGCUACCAUUCAAAGGUUGACCGCAUCAUUAGAUGCGUGCGGAGUAUGGAGAAUUAAUACAGUCAAUCUCAUUCACAAUCAUAAAACCAGCCCUUUGAAGUCCAGUUGUAUCGUUGCAACCGACAAUCGGGUGCCCAUGUCAAACGACGACUUGAAGUGAAUGACAUGGCAGGGAUUCCUUUGCAUAAAAGUUACGAUUUAGGGGUUGUAGAAGGGGGGUAUGAGAAUAUGACUUGCAUUGAAAAGGAUUGUCGAAAUUAUGUUGAACAAGUAAAGCGGUUAAGACUUGAAGAAGGAGAUGCCACAACAAUUCAGUUACACUUUUCGAACAUGC